AGAGAGAGUCAAAAGACCGUGAAACCGCUCAGAGUAUAAGCCAAUGGAGCUUGGAAGGCUUCCGCAGCCGGACUUCACCUUACGAGGUGUCGGAAAGACCUUGAGUUCGGUUCACGAGGUGCAGCAUUGAGUUUGCCUGUUAAUCGCCGUUUGGGGAGUGGUUUGGAGAGAAGCGGUUUCGGCCGUCAUAUUUCCUUGCACUACCUUGUUAACGAGUGUUCAAAGGCUCUUGGUCUAAUGCGGUAAGGCCCACCACGGCACGUUGUGAGGUCACCCACAGGCUCAACUGCCGAUUGCGUAUCCAGGACGAUGGCAACGAUGCGUAGUUACGCGUGUCUAGUCCUGGGUCGGGCGGCGACCGAGUUAAACCUGGUAUGAUCCUCAUGCGACGAGCUGUCUCUGACAAGACGGAAGCUAUGCCGCUUCCCUGUGCCGGAAGCGGCUAAUGGCGGGGUCAACAAGUCCGCUUGCCAGACGUCUGUGGUGUUAAGUCCAGCUCCAUCGGUCACGUCUCGAAACACGGGCCAAGGAGUAUAGCAUGUGUGCAAGUCUAAGGGUCUCACAAAACCCGAAGGCGAAGUGAAAGCAAGGCUGAGGCGGGGGACUACGGAGGAACCCGCCAGGUCAGUAGCGACUUGUUCGCUUGGCUUAUGUCAGAGCUGAUCCCGUCAUCCAUGUGAUGCGGGCGCAAGCUCCGGGCUCACGUACAACACUGGUGAUGCUCGCCUCGCGCGUGUUGUUGCCGUGUUGUGAGCACUGUGGAGCAUGCAUGCUAUUACCCGAAAGAUAGUGAACUAUGCCUGGCGAGGGCGAAGCCCCAGGAAACUGGGGUGGAGGCCCGUAGCCGUUGUGACGUGCAAAUCCAUGGUAUCAGUUGGGCAUAGGGGCGAAAGACCAAUCGA
rnacentral:rRNA from 1 species